rnacentral:rRNA from 1 species
GACGAACGCUGGCGGCGUGCUUAACACAUGCAAGUCGUACGGUAAGGCCCUUUCGGGGGUACACGAGUGGCGAACGGGUGAGUAACACGUGAGUAACCUGCCCACAACUUUGGGAUAACGCUAGGAAACUGGUGCUAAUACUGGAUAUGUGCUCCUGCUGCAUGGUGGGGGUUGGAAAGCUCCGGCGGUUGUGGAUGGACUCGCGGCCUAUCAGCUUGUUGGUGGGGUAGUGGCCUACCAAGGCGGGGACGGGUAGCCGGCCUGAGAGGGUGACCGGCCACCUUGGGACCGAGAUAAGGCCCAGACGCCUACGGGAGGACGCAGUGGGGAAUAUUGCCAAAUGGGCGCAAGCCUGAUGCAGAAACGCCGCGGGCGGGAUGACGGCCUUCGGGUUGUAAACCGCUUUCAGCAGGGACGAAGCUUUUUGUGACGGUACCUGCAGAAGAAGCACCGGCUAACUACGUG